AUUAAUUAGACUCCUGCAAGUUUUCUAUGGCAUUUUUGUUGUCAAAUAUUUGUCUUGUACCGUGCUGCUAUUAUAAAGGAUCACAUUAUUAUUUGCAAUUCUUUGUAAUUGUGUGGCAUUCAGUUACUUAGAAUCAUUCUGUAUUUCAGCUAUUUAUGUGGCAAACUAAACUAAGUACAUUUUCCAAGGAAAGAACUAAGUUAGGUACUUUUGUUUAGUUGCACUUAGAAUCCUUCAUAUUUCAUUCCUCACACUAUUUAUGAUAGUUAUUGCGUUAUGCACUUUUGUUUAGAUGAAGAUGCCUUAGUUGGUGUGGACUGCAUACUGAACUGUGACAUCACCUCAAAGGCUCAAAGGAUGACCGAUUUUCAGUCAAUGAAAAAUCUUUCAAAGGCAAUUGACUUUGCUAAGAGGAAUUUGCUCGCUGGAAAUAAAAUUAUACUUGUAUGCUGUCAAAGUGGAGAAGAUAUAAUUAUUUGUGUUUCCUUGGCAAUAGUGACAUUGUUGUUCGAUGAUAACGGUAAGUCUAACCUUGAUUACAAAGAUUGCAGCAGAUAUGAUUUUGCUUCUCUUGCAAAAAUGGUACAACAGGGAUUUUAGUCUCUUGUUAAUUUGCAUUCAUGCAAAAAAUUAUUAAUUCCUGCUUAUGCAAUUUAGUAUGUCAUGCAUGGUUACAUCAUGAAUUAAUUGUUUCUUGCAAGGAUGCGUUGACUGUGUCCAUUCUUUCAUGAGACAUCGCAAGAUUGGAGAUGACGAAGAGGCCGGUAUAUAUUCAUUUGCAAAUUUGCAGUAAAUGCACAGCCAUCUAGAGGAAACUUGAAACAAGUCUAUGAUUCAUUGCUUGUAUGCAUGGAGUUUCUAUUGGUUUGAACUUCAGAGUUGGUCUUUCACGCCAUUUUAUGAGAUAUGGUUAUACUGAGAAACAAUAGUUCGAUCAUGAAAGUUCCACUUUGUAAGGUCGAUUUCACAUUUGAAUUUGAUGGGUGAUGGAUACAAGUAGAAUAUGCCAUAAAAAUAGCAAUGAUCAAUCAUAUGUAGAUCAUGCUAUUUAUCUUAUUAAUUAUAUUGGACGUAUGUCACCAAGAUA